rnacentral:rRNA from 1 species
UACGUAGGGACCAAGCGUUGUUCGGAUUUACUGGGCGUAAAGGGCGCGUAGGCGGCAAUUCAAGUCAUCUGUGAAAUCUUCGGGCUCAACUCGAAGUCUGCACGAGAAACUAUCUGGCUUGAGUGUGGGAGAGGUGAGUGGAAUUCCUGGUGUAGCGGUGAAAUGCGUAGAUAUCAGGAGGAACACCUGUGGCGAAAGCGGCUCACUGGACCACAACUGACGCUGAGGCGCGAAGGCUAGGGGAGCGAACGGG